GAUGAACGCUGGCGGCGUGCCUAAUACAUGCAAGUCGAGCGAACAGACGAGGAGCUUGCUCCUCUGACGUUAGCGGCGGACGGGUGAGUAACACGUGGAUAACCUACCUAUAAGACUGGGAUAACUUCGGGAAACCGGAGCUAAUACCGGAUAAUAUAUUGAACCGCAUGGUUCAAUAGUGAAAGACGGUUUUGCUGUCACUUAUAGAUGGAUCCGCGCCGCAUUAGCUAGUUGGUAAGGUAACGGCUUACCAAGGCAACGAUGCGUAGCCGACCUGAGAGGGUGAUCGGCCACACUGGAACUGAGACACGGUCCAGACUCCUACGGGAGGCAGCAGUAGCGAAUCUUCCGCAAAGGGCGAAAGCCUGACGGAGCAACGCCGCGUGAGUGAUGAAGGUCUUCGGAUCGUAAAACUCUGUUAUUAGGGAAGAACAAAUGUGUAAGUAACUAUGCACGUCUUGACGGUACCUAAUCAGAAAGCCACGGCUAACUACGUG
rnacentral:rRNA from 1 species